rnacentral:rRNA from 1 species
CACGUAGGGUGCGAGCGUUGUCCGGAAUUAUUGGGCGUAAAGAGCUCGUAGGCGGUGUGUCGCGUCGGCCGUGAAAACCUGCAGCUUAACUGUGGGCUUGCGGUCGAUACGGGCAUCACUAGAGUUCGGCAGGGGAGACUGGAAUUCCUGGUGUAGCGGUGAAAUGCGCAGAUAUCAGGAGGAACACCGGUGGCGAAGGCGGUUCUCUGGGCAUUACCUGACGCUGAGGAGCGAAAGCAUGGGGAGCGAACAGG